rnacentral:lncRNA from 10 species
GGACAGCAGUCCCCUUCUAGGGCUCCAGUGCUCCUCAGCCCUGGCAGGAAGGCCAGCUUUGCCAGCCUAGGCUUCUUGCAUCCCUAGCCCUGGAAGGGCCUCAGGUGUUUCAGACACAGGUACAGCCAGCUCUUGCACAAACCCCUUUCCUGCCAAGCCAGGACUGCAUUUCCAGUCAUGGGCAGGCUUUGCUGCAAAUGAUUACACAGGACUAAACCUAGACAGACCUGAGGAGCAGAAGGCAGAGUCAAGCCAAACCAGAGCCAAGGGGAAGGGAGCCAAGGGGACUUGGCCAUGGGAGCAGACACACAAGCUGCGCCCUGGAGCUGAUCGAGUCCCUCGCAGGAGAGGGCUGGGCAGAGGAACCACGACGGCCAUGCGGAAGCCACACAAGAGCGAUCCAAUGUCUCAUCUCCGCCCUCAAUCAUGGCCUCCGCUGAUGCCAAAGUAAACCCAUUCAGCUUCAGGAGGCUUUUCAGCAAACAAAGCAUAAUUUGUACGACGGAUCUGUGUGUUACAGUAGAGGAUCACGGGCAUUUGAAAUGACACAACUGGAAGCUAAAUCCAACAGCAGGGGAGACCCUUACCAAGGCGAGGUAUGAUGCUCCACUUGGUCUCACUGCCUCCCGUCUCUGCUCCAUCCAAUCUAUCUUCCAGUCCAGAAGUGAAGGUUUUGUGCCAAAAUGCAUUCACCCAUCCAAACAUUCAAUAAAUAUCUACUAAGUACCCACUAAAGGUUAGGUGUGCGUGAAGCCCUGGUGGCAAAGAAAUAAACAGACCCGACCUCUUCCCUCAAACAGCUAGUGAACAGUGCAAACCAUGGCAUGGUUUGAAAAAUGAGCAUGAGGACUGCCCAGGGUCCCUUUGGGAAAUGCUGAACAGAGUGUGCAUGGCACAUUCAACAGUUCCUUGGAGCAUGGAGUACCCACGGGCAAGAGUGGGAGAGAAAGCGAGGAGGCAGGCAAAGGCCAGGGCAGGAAGGCCCCAAAAGGCCAUGUGGACCUCACCACGUGAUUUCUGUUUAGAAACUUUCAAUGGUGCCCCAUUCCAAACCCUUAAGUAUGGCCUCUGUGCGUCCUGGUGUAGCCCCCAAGCUACAUUUCUGAUCCAUUCUCAACUCCUAGUACUGUGCUACACCCAUCUACACCUCACUCCUCAAAGACUCGAAGUAAACUCAUGCUCUUGGCCUGAUUCAAAUAAUUCCCUUAGGCCACUCUGGACCCCAAACCGUCUCCUCCACAUCUCGGCCUGCUGAAACCGGACUUACCGUUUCUUCAGUAUAAUACUGCAGCCACUAACCAGUAGGAAUUAAGCAUGGUCCUACCUUCAAGGAGGUUAGACUCUUGUGGAAGAAAAGGAUAAGUUUAGUUAACUAUCGUGUAACUAUAAAAGACAUGGUGAUGAUAUGUGAUAGGUGUUUCCAAAAAAUCACUUCACUGUAGUAACAAUACAGUGGGAAAUGAGUUGUCGGACUUUGCAAGGAAUGUUUCAAGAAUAAAAGCAUUUAAACUGAUCCUUGCCAGUUAAAUAGGGUCCAACCAAUCACAACAGACACUAAUACCAGCUGAUUGUUACCUUUCCAUCUCUUGCUGUACCUCGUUAACAAUAGAAUCUCAAAAAAUGCCUGCUGAAUAAACCAUACAUAUGCAUAAUAAACUCCAAAAGAAAGUAUUAAUUAUGUAGAGUAUCAUCCUUAAUGUUACUUCUCUUCAUUCUAACAAAAAUCUAGAGAGGAUUUUAUAUUAGCCUUAUGCCACUGAGACUGAUGUCCCCAAUGUCCCCUGUAACCUCAGACAUGGGUUACAUGAGGACCUUAGUGAUUAAAAAGUCUCCACUGGCUAUUUCUCCAUUGAUUAUGGAAAUGAGCAGUGAGCCCCAGCUCCCCAAUUCUUACGACAGUUCAAGAACCAUCACCUUGACAUACUUGAGAAUUAAAUACUAAGCAGAACAUGUUUCCUGGAGACAAGAAUAAUUGAAUUUUCAUGAAACGUAAUGCAAUGUUUGUUCAUUCUAUGUAAACACAUACAGAUUGCAAGUAAGGCUAGAUUAAUUCCUUCAAAGCACACUAGAUUUCCACAAACCUAAUGAAGCUGUCUGAGGUAAUAAAGCCUUAGAAGUCAACAUUUGAAGACUUUUUCAUUUAUUUCCCUAUACCUGAAGUGGCAGGAUAAAAAUAAGAUGAAAAUAUAGGACUUUUAUAUGUAAAUUAAUCCCAAAGUAACUUUUCCAGGAAAUAUACAAAAAGUUCAGAAUGAAAGCAAACUAUGUGUGCAUACAUAGGAAUGAGCAGUGGCCUAGAAAACCCUGAAGUGUUUACAGCACCUCCAAUCGUAUCUAAAAUACUAGAUUCCUGUCAGUGGAGCAGGAUUUUUCCCAAAUCUUCAUGAAAGGAGGCUGAGGCAAACAAAGCAGAAGAUGAGGGGAGGACCCUGAAUACCUUCAUGGAGAAUCACGGAAGAUUUUCCAGAGAGGCACGGCAAUAAUGAAAGAGACAGCCCAAGGCAUGUAUCCAGGGAUUCCAAGCAGGGCAGACUGGAGGAGGGAAACCCUGGAGGCAAGGAGACCCCUAAGAAGAGGUUCUCAGAGAAGCCCCUGUGUGCUUCUCCCGCCUCAACCUUUGAACAGGCUGUCCCUUGUGCCUGGACUAACAGGCGGCACACUACCUCCCACACGCCAAGUCUGGAUCCCUAACCCUCUGGUUUUUGUAAGGCCUACAAGCUAGGAAUGAAUUUUACCUUUUUAAAUGGUUGAAAAACAUCAAAAGAAGAAUACUAUUCAUGAUGCAUGGAAAUCAGGGGAAAUUUUCUGUAUCCGUAAAUAAGGAGUUAUUGGAACCCGGCCACACUUCACCGAUGGCCACCGCGACCUUCACACUACAACGGCAUGGGGGAGCUGGAGCAGGAGACCAAGGCCGCCCCAAACCCAAAUGCCUACCACUUGGCCCCUUACCAAACUAGUUUGCCCCUGCAGCCCACAUCACGCUUCCCCUCCCCCACUCCCUGUUACCACCAACCCUUACUCAUUCCUCACAUCUCAGAGUAGGAGGCCUUUCUGAAAGCUUCCCCAAGUCACACUAGAUGCCACCUCCUACUCUUCCCACAGUGCAAUGUACUGCUCUCCUCACAGCAGGUGUCAGCACACACUGACAUUACACAUUUACCUCACCAUAUUUCCCACCUGACUGUGAGCUGCAGGAGGGCAGGGGCCAUCUGUAGCCUCAUACAGUUGACCCUUGAACAACAAAGAUUGGAACUACACAGGUUCACUUCUACACGGAUUGUUUUUAACCAACUGUGGGUCAAAAAUACAGUAUUUGCAGGAUGCAAAACCCAUGUAUACAGAGGGCCAACUUUUCAUACACACAGGUUCCUCAGGGAAGUGCAGGACUUGAGUAUGUGCAGAUUUUGGUAUACUCAGGAGUCCUGGAAUCAAUCCCACAUGUAUACCAAGGGAUGACCAUAUUUUCGUCAUUAAUUGGUACAGCUUGAGUAUCUCAAAUCUGAAAAACCUGAAAUCUUAAAUGCUCCAAAAUCCAAAACUUUUUGAGGGCCCACAUGAUGCUCAAAGGAAAUGCUCAUUGGAACAUUUCUGAUUUCGAGUUUUCGGAUUACGAAUGCUAAAUCAGUAAGUAUAAUGCAAAUAUUCCAAAACACACACACACAAAAUCCAAAACCUAAAACAUUUCUUGUCCCAAGCAUUUAACAUAAGAGAUAUGCAAUCUGUACUACCAGGUAUUCAGCAAAUAUUGAAAUGAAUGAAUGCAUGAACAAUGAAUGAAUAAGUCAAAUAAAGACCUGAACCACAUGAG